GAUGAACGCUGGCGGCGUGCCUAAUACAUGCAAGUCGAGCGAACGGACGAGAAGCUUGCUUCUCUGAUGUUAGCGGCGGACGGGUGAGUAACACGUGGAUAACCUACCUAUAAGACUGGGAUAACUUCGGGAAACCGGAGCUAAUACCGGAUAAUAUUUUGAACCGCAUGGUUCAAAAGUGAAAGACGGUCUUGCUGUCACUUAUAGAUGGAUCCGCGCUGCAUUAGCUAGUUGGUAAGGUAACGGCUUACCAAGGCAACGAUGCAUAGCCGACCUGAGAGGGUGAUCGGCCACACUGGAACUGAGAUACGGUCCAGACUCCUACGGGAGGCAGCAGUAGGGAAGCUUCGGCAAUGGGCGAAAGCCUGACGGAGCGACGCCGCGUGAGUGAUGAAGGUCUUCGGAUCGUAAAACUCUGUUAUUAGGGAAGAACAUAUGUGUAAGUAACUGUGCACAGCUUGACGGUACCUAAUCAGAAAGCCACGGCUAACUACGUG
rnacentral:rRNA from 1 species